rnacentral:rRNA from 1 species
UACGUAGGGUGCGAGCGUUAAUCGGAAUUACUGGGCGUAAAGCGUGCGUAGGCGGCGUAGCAAGUCGAGUGUGAAAUCCCCGAGCUUAACUUGGGAAUUGCGCUCGAAACUACGGUGCUGGAGUGUGGCAGAGGGAGGUGGAAUUCCACGUGUAGCGGUGAAAUGCGUAGAGAUGUGGAGGAACACCGAUGGCGAAGGCAGCCUCCUGGGCCAACACUGACGCUCAUGCGCGAAAGCGUGGGGAGCAAACAGG